CAAUGCCUACGGGGGGCAGCAGUGGGGAAUAUUGCGCAAUGGGCGAAAGCCUGACGCAGCGACGCCGCGUGAGGGAUGGAGGUCUUCGGAUCGUAAACCUCUGUCAGCAGGGAAGAACGGUCACUGUGCUAAUCAGCAGUGAAUUGACGGUACCUGCAAAGGAAGCACCGGCUAACUCCGUGCCAACAGCCGCGGUAAUACGGCGGGUGCGAGCGUUAAUCGGAAUUACUGGGCGUAAAGCGGUCGUAGGCGGUAUGUCAAGUCAAGGGUGAAAUACCCGCGCUCAACGUGGGAAC
rnacentral:rRNA from 1 species